ensembl:misc_RNA Y_RNA Y RNA
GGCUGGUCCAAAGGCAGUGAGUUAUCUCAACUGACUGUUCACAGUCAGUUACAGAUCAAAUUCUUUGUUCUAUUCUUUCCCCACUUCUCACUACUGUGCUUAACUAGUCUUAG